rnacentral:rRNA from 1 species
CCAGACCGCCAGCUAAGGUCCCAAAGUCAUAGUUAAGUGGGAAACGAUGUGGAAAGGCCCAGACAGCCAGGAGGUUGGCUUAGAAGCAGCCAUCCUUUAAAGAAAGCGUAAUAGCUCACUGGUCGAGUCGGUCUGCGCGGAAGAUGUAACGGGGCUAAACUAUGCACCGAAGCUGCGGAUUCAAACUUUGUUUGAGUGGUAGGGGAGCGUUCUGUAAGCCGUUGAAGGUGUACCGGGAGGUAUGCUGGAGGUAUCAGAAGUGCGAAUGCUGACAUGAGUAACGAUAAUGCGGGUGAAAAACCCGCACGCCGGAAGACCAAGGGUUCCUAUCCCAUGUUAAUCAGGGUAGGGUAAGUCGACCCCUAAGGCGAGGCCGAAAGGCGUAGUCGAUGGGAAACGGGUUAAUAUUCCCGUACUUGGUAUAAUUGCGAUGGGGGGACG